UUUAAGACAUGUAUUUUCACUCCUUAUGGGACAGUAUUAACUAGAAAUGGUAGAACUACAGACCAGAUGCCACCCAACAGUGCCAGACGAACGUUCACUUUCGGGUUCUCUUGAGGUCGUGACCUCUUACCAUGGCGACUGUUUGGGCCAUCACAAAAGAAAAUUACAAGGGACGGGCUGGCAGGUCCCUCUCACCUGACCGCCUCGAAUUAAUCACAUCUCAGAUUAGUAAGUUUUUCAAGGGCAGGACAUCAUGCAACAUCAGUCUCCUAAAAGUUGUUCUCAUACAAGAUUUAUUCCCCAGCAUCCCUCCCACCCCAUCCCCAUCCUAAUUCACAGUGGAGGACUAAGGAGAUCCAGAACACGAUCCCCCAGGUACAAGAAACACCUUCCAAAGAUUUUGUUCUUCAUUCCUUCCUUCCCUCUUGUCAACUGCCAAAGCCUGAAGCCACACACUCAUGCAAACAAAAACACCCACUCCUUCCCCACAGGUCCCAUUUGGUUUUUUCCAUAUUAGAGUUAAGACAACUGGGCUCUGAGACUAGAGAAGGUAUCCAGUCUGUCUGACAGCUCCAGAGGCCAUUACCCCUCACCUUCAUAGAGGUCAUGAAAAUAUUGAAAGAUCAUUUCCUGAAGAACCAAACUUCUCUUUAUCAUUUCCUGAAGAACCAAACUCUCUUUAUCCAGAGUUAGCUGUGGCUGGAAAAUCAACAGGCCAGAUUUUGUUCUUCCAUUGAUCAAUACACACAAUGAUCAUAGAGCUGAACGCAAGCAGAAACACAAGACGAAGGGAUGUCAGUGCAAAGAACCUACAGAAAAGGAAAAACAGAAGGUCAUUAUCCACUUAAGAGACUCAUACUGAAGUGUUUACAGAUUAAAUUAUAUGACAUCGGGAUCUGCCUCAAAACAAUAAAGGAGGUGCAGCUUUGGUGGCUCCCAUUGACGCUCAUACUUCGCAAACUUCCGAGUGGAAGGAAAGGAUAUACAACAUGCUCAUUCAGUCGGCUCCAGUUUGUUCUAUCACACCAGUGGAUGCCUCUUCAGGCCCCCAAUCUACCCCGACAGUAACUACUAAAAUCUCUGAAGAGUCUUCAAACCACGUUUGAGCAGACAUGAGAUGGGAGGUGACGGCCUUCAAGUGACACAGCUCUCCUUGCUAAAGAGAGGCGCCUCCGCUCACAGCCGGAGGCUCAAGAGGUGGCCACAAGCUUCUGCCAGAUGUGCGGGCGGGGGUGCGAGAGCAGGUAAAGCAGGGAAGACAACUGGAGGGCCCUGGGGAGAACUGGGGUGCCAAAACCUGAAAGGAGGUGAGGCAAAAUGAGGCAGAUACAGGGAAAAGCCAAUGCAGCGAAGAAAACAGAGGAGGCAGUGGUAGACCCCUAGAGAACCCUGACGAAUCCGCGCCUCGGAGGGUUUCCGAGGGCCCAGUGGUCUCACCAGAAAGCCGCGUUCAG